UACGUAGGUGGCGAGCGUUGUCCGGAUUUACUGGGCGUAAAGGGCGUGCAGGCGGUUUGUUAAGUGCAGGGUGAAAGCUCCCGGCUCAACUGGGAGAGGUCCUUGCAUACUGGCGAACUCGAGGGAGGCAGAGGAAAGUGGAAUUCCCGGUGUAGUGGUGAUAUGCGUAGAUAUCGGGAGGAACACCUGUGGCGAAGGCGGCCUUCUGGGCCUUACCUGACGCUGAGACGCGAAAGCGUGGGGAGCGAACCGG
rnacentral:rRNA from 1 species